CUCUGCCUUCCAGCCAGAUGUUGUCAUUGCAGCAGGUAAUGCCCAGCCCCGGGCAUCCUGUGCAGGCGGUGUCCUUGCAGCUCUACCCAGCUCUUGGCUCUGGGAAAAGGGAACAAUGGACACUGUCGGGCAUGGAUGUGAUGGGGCUUCCAGAAGAGUUACUCUGGGCCUCCAGGGUGACAUCAAAGGACAGGGGUGCCUCUUAAGGUGACCUUCAAGCCACAGCCCUGUUGUUGGAGACAGGCAUACUACAGUUACAGUCGUCACCACAUGGCUCUGUCCCAGAGCCAUGCCCUGUGUCCUUCAGAGACCGCAGGAGGAAAACAACCACUUCUGGUACGAGGUCAGGGCCCUUGAGAGAAGGUGCUGUUUGGCUGGGCCACCGAAAACCCCUCACCCCUGUGAGCACACUCAGUCCCCUCUCUGGUGGAACAGAACUCUGCCUGUAGUCCUGGGUCCCAGCCCUGAAACCCACAGGUCCAGCGGUGGCCAGGGACACAGGCCCACCCCUGCAAGCCAGCAGACCAAUCGGCAGACACCUGAAACACGAAGUUCACGGCAGGGUCAGGCUUUCUGUCAUUGAAAGCCCUCUAGACAGGCCGAGAACCAGAGCUGGUUUUUUAAGGACACCAGUGAGUCUGGAGAUUUUUUUCUUUUGCUUCGGUCUUUUGCAGCUUUCUCUAAUAAGGGUUCUCCUUUUUCACCCAAAUAAUUGCCUUUCCAUCUAAUGGCCCAAAUGGUCAAAUGGCAUCUAAUAGUCUCAUAUGACCGCUGCCUCUCUGGCCUCGCCCUGCUGCUGAGGUCAGCAUGAACUGGAACUUUCCACUUGUCCCUUUCAGUAACCUGAAACUUUCACCGUAGACGUGCUGUAUUGCCCAGAAGCCAUCGUGUCGCUGGUCGGGGUCCUGCAGAGGCUGGCUGCCUGCCGGGAGCACAAGCGGGCUCCUGAGGUCUACGUGGCCUUUACCGUCCGCAACCCAGAGACGUGCCAGCUGUUCACCACCGAGCUAGGUGAACCCCCACGCCCACCCGGGCCUACAUGGUGCCCGAGCUGUCCCUGCAGGACUCCAGUGGAAGUGAAAGAACUGGGCGCUGGGGAAAAGCUAGGAUGCUCCACACUCCCACACUAUGCGGGGAACUCGGGCAGAGGCCGGCCGGGAUGGGAUCAGAUGGGAAGCGGAAGCUCAUCAUGACCAGAAACUGUUUCCCUAUGGAGAGCACUUGGAGAUGGCAAUGCUGAACCUCACACUGUAGGACUCACACAUGACUCCAAAGGGAUUGUGAGAAUCAAGUCACUCUCGUGGGAAGAAUUUUUAUAUGGGAAAGUGGAUAAAACUUUCAUUGGACUGGAAUGUUUGGAGAUUAUUAAACUCCAAAUCAGGAAUCAAAACUGCCCUCUAAUAAGACAUUAGCUGUCUA
rnacentral:lncRNA from 1 species